rnacentral:rRNA from 1 species
GACAGAGGGGGCAAGCGUUGUCCGGAGUUACUGGGCGUAAAGCGCACGCAGGCGGUACGGCAAGUGGGGUGUGAAAGCGGGCGGCUUAACCGCCCGAGGCCAUCUCAGACUGCCGCACUCGAGCCCGGGAGAGGUCCCUCGAAUUGCCGGUGUAGUGGUGAAAUGCGUAGAGAUCGGCAGGAAGACCCAGGGGGAAGCCAGGGGACUGGCCCGGUGCUGACGCUCAGGUGCGACAGCGUGGGGAGCGAAC